rnacentral:rRNA from 1 species
AAUGAACGCUGGCGGCGUGCCUAACACAUGCAAGUCGGAUGUGCCGCAAGGUGCAUGGCAGACGGGUGAGUAACGCGUGGGGAAUCUACCUUUUUGUGGGGAAUAACGCUCCGAAAGGAGUGGUAAUACCGCAUGAGACCGUGAGCUGGGACGCUCGCGGUGAAACCUGGGGACCGGCAACGGCCUGGGGCAAGGAGAGGAUCCUGCGUCUGAUUAGCUAGUUGGCGGGGUAAUGGCCCACCAAGGCGACGAUCAGUAGCCGGCCUGAGAGGGUGAUCGGCCACACUGGAACUGAGACACGGUCCAGACUCCUACGGGAGGCAGCAGUGGGGAAUUUUUGCGCAAUGGGCGAAAGCCUGACGCAGCAACGCCGCGUGGGUGAUGAAGGUCUUCGGGACUGUAAAACCCUGUCGUCAGGGACGAAGGGUGCGCAUGUGAAUAGCAUGUGUACUUGACGGUACCUGGGAGAGGGAAAGCCCCCGGGCUAAACUC